UGGGUUUGGGCCUUGAGUAAGGAUGUGGGAUGUCAGCCCAAAUCAGUUGGGUAUUAUUACUUGGUGCACUGAAGGGUGCAAUCGUCUGCUCGCCGAAUCUGAUGCCGCCAGUGAUUCUCUUCCUUCUAGCACUAGCAGCCUAGCUGAUUGGAAUGAUCGGAGGAAGUUGCAGGCACGUCUUCAGGCGUCUGAGUUCGCCCUGGCAAUGGAACAAGGUCUGAGAAUCAACGGCGCGGCUGUCUAUUGAAGUCGACAGAGCUGCAGUCAGAUGAGCGACGCCGAGGCAGUAUGGAGGUUGAAGCAGCAGCGGUUGCUCUGGUCCCGGCAAUGAAACCAGUUGCAGACGGUGCAAGGUCUGAAUCAGCGAUAGAAGUCCGAGUCUUGGCUGAAGUUGGGAUUCGAUCACCGCUUGUAUGGUUCAGGUAAGUGAAGAACAAAAUUUGUUCUUGGUAUUAUGGGUAUUGGAUAAGUUGAAGAAACAGAGUUCUUGGUUUAUGGAUAAUGGGUAAUCAGAAUUGGAUAUGAUCUGGGUAGGUGAAGAAACAGAGUUUCUUCUGGUACUGGUAUCGAUAUGAUAACUGGGUAAGAUGAAGAAACAAAGUUCUUCUCUUGGUAUUUUGGCAGCGGAAUGUGGGUAUGGGUAUCGGUCUCAAGAGCAGAAUUGCUCUGAUACCAUGUCAAGAAUAGAGGUAUGGUAUAAUUCCCAGAUGAUAUUCUUCUCCAAUUGGAGGAUAUUUAUAGUAGUACAGAUUCACCUAUAGCUAAGUGUGGAUAGGAAAUACAAUAGUAGAGCUAUGUAUGAAAGGUAAAUACAAGGGUCAUGUAAUACGGCUGUAUUAACUACACAAGUGAUCUCUGUCUGUUGUUGGAGCAGUAGUCCAGAUUUGCUGCUUGAAUGGAGCAGCUCACUCAACAAUGGCAACCUGUCUCAGCGAAAGAUCACUCAGGUCAUCACAGGUGCUCAAACCUCGCAUCACCUCAGUGAGUUGAGCCUUCAGCUGCAGCCCGGACUUUGCGUAU
rnacentral:lncRNA from 1 species